UGGCGAACGGGUGAGUAAUGCAUCGGAACGUGCCCAGUAGUGGGGGAUAGCCCGGCGAAAGCCGGAUUAAUACCGCAUACGACCUACGGGUGAAAGGGGGGGAUCGCAAGACCUCUCGCUAUUGGAGCGGCCGAUGUCAGAUUAGCUAGUUGGUGGGGUAAAAGCCUACCAAGGCGACGAUCUGUAGCUGGUCUGAGAGGACGACCAGCCACACUGGGACUGAGACACGGCCCAGACUCCUACGGGAGGCAGCAGUGGGGAAUUUUGGACAAUGGACGCAAGUCUGAUCCAGCCAUGCCGCGUGCGGGAAGAAGGCCUUCGGGUUGUAAACCGCUUUUGUCAGGGAAGAAAUCCCUUGGGAUAGUACCUCGGGGGGAUGACGGUACCUGAAGAAUAAGCACCGGCUAACUACGUGCCAGCAGCCGCGGUAAUACGUAGGGUGCAAGCGUUAAUCGGAAUUACUGGGCGUAAAGCGUGCGCAGGCGGUUAUGCAAGACAGAUGUGAAAUCCCCGGGCUCAACCUGGGAACUGCAUUUGUGACUGCAUAGCUUGAGUGCGGCAGAGGGGGAUGGAAUUCCGCGUGUAGCAGUGAAAUGCGUAGAUAUGCGGAGGAACACCGAUGGCGAAGGCAAUCCCCUGGGCCUGCACUGACGCUCAUGCACGAAAGCGUGGGGGAGCAAACAGGAUUAGAUACCCUGGUAGUCCACGCCCUAAACGAUGUCAACUGGUU
rnacentral:rRNA from 1 species